AUUGAACGCUGGCGGCAUGCCUUACACAUGCAAGUCGAACGGUAACAGGUCUUCGGAUGCUGACGAGUGGCGAACGGGUGAGUAAUACAUCGGAACGUGCCCGAUCGUGGGGGAUAACGAAGCGAAAGCUUUGCUAAUACCGCAUACGAUCUACGGAUGAAAGCAGGGGACCGCAAGGCCUUGCGCGAACGGAGCGGCCGAUGGCAGAUUAGGUAGUUGGUGGGAUAAAAGCUUACCAAGCCGACGAUCUGUAGCUGGUCUGAAAGGACGACCAGCGACACUGGGACUGAGACACGGCCCAGAGUCCUACGGGAGGCAGCAGUGGGGAAGUUGGGACAAUGGGCGAAAGCCUGAUCCAGCCAUGCGGCGGGCAGGAUGAAGGCCUUCGGGUUGUAAACUGCUUUUGUACGGAACGAAAAGACUCUGGUUAAUGCCUGGGGUCCAUGACGGUACCGCAAGAAUAAGCACCGGCUAACUACGUGCCAGCAGCCGCCGUAA
rnacentral:rRNA from 1 species